GGAUCAAUUGAUUGGUCAUGCCUACGGUAUGUACUAGUCAUAUUGGUUCUCACCUUCUAAUGAACCUUAAUGUCAUUCACUUGAUGUUUUGGGGAAUUAGGACUGUUACCUUGAAAAAAUUAGAGUGUUUAAAGCAGGCUUACGCUUGAAUACAUUAGCAUGGAAUAAUGAAAUAGGACA
rnacentral:rRNA from 1 species